GUCGCGCUCCCUGCGCCGCGCACCUGAGGCAGUCGUUGUCUCUCACCAGGCGCGCGCUCUCGGCGGGGGGCAGGAGCCCCCCGUCCAGGUAGAGGCCUAGGAGGGCCCCAGAACUGAAGCCGAAGCGCUGGCGGAUGAGACUAAUGAGAUCUGUGACGACUCGGCAUCUGUUCAAGUCGACCAGAAGCCAGAAGGCCGUACAGUGCGGGGUAGCUGGCGGCGGGUAAUCAAAUUGAAGCCGUAGCCUAACCGUCUCGGAAGCUGCCAUCUUGCUCGGUGCUCAACGGAAGCCGAGAGAUACCACGGGGCUACCGAGAGGCGUGCUCGGGCGGCUCGCCCCUCCCCGGAGCCUUUGGCGUUUGCCACCUAGUGGUGGAACCUUGCUACUACAGGCUGCGUCCAGGCGAGAACUCGGAGCGAGGUUGAUUUCAUUCAAUUUUGUUCACGGCAGGGCUGAGGAAGGGAGGGCCUGCCAUGCGCUGCUCUGACGAGGCGUUCCACUGGGGCAAUUGCCUACGAGGGACCGCUCUCAGGAUCCACGUCACUCAAGCUGGCUGGAGUCCCCCACAAGGAUGCUCCACAGGGCAGGCCUAAGCCACCUAAGGGACUGCCUCGACUGUCGGUUAAUCACCUCGCUUCCCGGUCAAGGAACCAAGAAAUGUAGCAGAACAAGCCACACACAAAACCCCUCAGACACCGAGUUAAAGAAGGAAGGGCUUUAUUCAGCCGGGACCUUCGACAAGACCCAUGUCUCCAAAAACCAAGUACCCUAAUUCAUCUGGAUCUCGUUGUUGGGCCAUGAGAAACAGCAGCCCGACCCUCACUCUGGUCUGGGAACAAAAUUUGGCAAGCCAGCCAGAGAGACUGGGAUGGUGCUGUGUUCAGCGGCUAGCAGCUUGCAACGAGACAAUCUUCAGGAGGAUCCCAGCAGCUGCCGAUGAGAUUUCCCAAGGACACUCUUGAAGGCUGUUUCAUGCACAAAAUUGCACAUCUCUUUCACUACUGGGGAAGAAUGGAGAUCAGGAGGGAUGCACUCAAAGGAGUCAAGGAAACUUUUCUUUUGAGCUAUUGACAGCUUUUAACAAUUUAGUAUACUCCCAUGAACAGAAUUUGGAGCAUAUUUGUUUCUCUCUAGCUGAUUUUCUCCAGAAUUUGAAAACUAUUUGACACAAUUGGAAAAACUGGUCAUUUUACCACAGCUUUGACUGGAAUGGUAUGCUUUCCUUUAAGAAAUCAAACCUGACUUAUGGAGCCAAUGGAACCCCAAGUUGUCUUAGAACCUGAAGAGGAGAGAAAUUCACUCAACACAUAGGUGCUGCCUCUAAGCCCCAAAACAGAGAGUGCUACCAAGAACUAAUCGACCUCUUCCACUCCAGUGCUGCAUUCGGUGCCCCAUAAUGACGACCCUCUCUCAGCAGGAAGUAGCCAGAAAGGUUAUGAUGCCCCAUCUCCCUACAAUUCUCGUGACAAAUAAAUAUACAAGCAUGAUAGAUAUGUGCAAAUUGACAGUGGAGAUUGUGGCAGGUGGAUCUCACUAAAGCAGGCCUCUGUAACAACUGUUUCAGUAUUGACUGAGUUGUUAAGUUAAAUAUUAAAAGCCAGUGGCCUUUAUACAAAGGCUGGGAUGGAACAAAAGCCCACCAAGAGUUUUGCAUAGGCCUUUCCUGGGCCUUAAAGCAUGACAAAAUAAUGAAGGAAUUCUUAACAGGACCCAUUUAGGAUUAAACAAGUUUUAUCGUGAGUCUGAAGAAGCUUUCCAGGCCUCCACAACAAGUUUAUUGGAGGUCUGAAGGAACUCCCUAAACCUCCAUGAUUUAGCAGGAGACAAGAUAGGGGUAACCACCCCAGCACCUGGACGCAUUUAGAUUAAGUAAAUUUACUGAUGCUCCAGAGGAAUGUCUUCAGGACUCAGACCUUAAUUAUAGAUUAAAAGUAGUUAAUCACUUAUGCCUUUAGAAGAAUGCACUCUUACACGUAGACAUACAGCUUAGAAGGUAUAUAAGCUCUGGAAAAUGUUGUAAUUUGGAGUUGGUCUGGCAAUAACUUCCAGACCUUCCCCCUGUAACUGGUUACAGAAAUAAAAACUCUCUCCCCACUUCAUCUGCAUCUCAUUAUUGGGGCACAAGAAAUAGCAGCCCAACCUUCAGUUUUGUCCGGGAACACUAGAAUUAUCAGCGUGAGCCACAGUAGCUUGCCUAUAAAUGCGCUUUAUCAAGUUGAGGAAGAUCCCCUCAAUUCCCAUUUUCUGAAUUUUUUAAAUAAUAAAUUUAAAAAUUAUGUGUUAAACUUGUGAUGUUAAAUUUUGUCAAGUAUUUUUUCUGCAUUGAUUUAUAUGAUUAUAUGAUUUUUCUUCCUUUUCCUUUUAAUGUGGUUUAUCAUUUUGAUUGUUUUUCAAAUAUUGAACCAUCUAUGUUUCCUUAUAAUAAAUUAUAUUUGGUUAUGGUGAAUUAA